AUUGAACGCUGGCGGCAGGCCUAACACAUGCAAGUCGAGCGGAUGAAGGGAGCUUGCUCCUGGAUUCAGCGGCGGACGGGUGAGUAAUGCCUAGGAAUCUGCCUGGUAGUGGGGGAUAACGUCCGGAAACGGGCGCUAAUACCGCAUACGUCCUGAGGGAGAAAGUGGGGGAUCUUCGGACCUCACGCUAUCAGAUGAGCCUAGGUCGGAUUAGCUAGUUGGUGGGGUAAAGGCCUACCAAGGCGACGAUCCGUAACUGGUCUGAGAGGAUGAUCAGUCACACUGGAACUGAGACACGGUCCAGACUCCUACGGGAGGCAGCAGUGGGGAAUAUUGGACAAUGGGCGAAAGCCUGAUCCAGCCAUGCCGCGUGUGUGAAGAAGGUCUUCGGAUUGUAAAGCACUUUAAGUUGGGAGGAAGGGCAGUAGGUUAAUCCCUUGCUGUUUUGACGUUACCAACAGAAUAAGCACCGGCUAACUUCGUG
rnacentral:rRNA from 1 species